UACGUAGGGGGCAAGCGUUGUCCGGAUUUAUUGGGCGUAAAGAGCACGCAGGCGGUCUUGUAAGUUUCGAGUGACAGGUGGUGGCUUAACUGCCACAGGGCUGGGAAAACUGCAAGACUUGAGAACUUCAGAGGGAUGCGGAAUUCCAGGUGGAGCGGUGAAAUGCGUAGAGAUCUGGAAGAACACCAAAGGCGAAGGCAGCAUCCUGGGAAGAAUCGUGACGCUGAGGUGCGAAAGCCAGGGGAG
rnacentral:rRNA from 1 species